GGGGCGUCUGGGGGGCCGCGUCCCGCUGGCCGGCUCCGAGCGCACCGAGGUGUCGCGAGGUGCGCUCGCCCGCAGCCCUCUGUCAGUUAUUUUGGUCAGGAUGGCACGUGGAUCCCGGGACAGGGGCACAGAGAGAUUAGGUGGUUUAAAUCUUAUGCCUUGGGCCCCUCUCCAAGGAAAAGCUGCUGCUGACUUACAGCUGUCUCGUGCUCUCUGUGGAAUGAGAGGGAAGUCCAUUCAGUCUGGUGAAAAUAAACCCACCGUCAUAGCUGGCAUUCUCGUUGGUAGUCUCAGUGCGGAGGCCAAGGAUUUGAGGGCAGUGACACAUGAGGCAUCUCACUCCUAAAGAGCUCGAUCUGGGUUGAAACGUGUCAUCAGAAAAGCAUGAGGAGCCUUGCGCUCCCGCUGUCAGUACAGUGCUUGCCCUCUGCACACAGACCGGCUUUCCUUUUCUGUCCCGUCCGUCUGGCACACAGCACGGGGACCAUUUACUGUACAUUCACGUUAAAGGAGAAGCACACCCGCUGUUCUCCCCUGGGACCCAUCAGCCCCGCACCUAAUGCCUUUCCAUCGCCAUCUGCCCUUCUCUCCUGCGGGAUAAAAGACUGCGCCCAGCCUCAUCAUCUCCCCUCUAUCUGUGCUCCUCUCUGUUCCUCUCCUCCUUGGUGCUGGGUACCUGCAGUGCCUGGAUGCAGUGAGGGAUGGGCAGGCCCUGUGCCGUGGCAUCGCAUGUGUGCCACUCCCCAGUAGCAGCCAUUGUGUUGGCUCUCCUAACGAUGACUGUGCAGGGGUACGAAGGACACUUCCAGAGCACGCUGGCCCCACAGCAUCAUCCCAGUGAGCACCUGUGAGUUGGAUUUCUGUGAAGAAAAGCACUUCUGUUUUCUGGAGCACUGCUGGCCGGAGAGCUGCAAAAAUGAAGCAGAUGUUUUAUUUGUUGCUCUUCACGUCACUUACAGUGAAGAUCCUAUGAGACGUUAUGAGAUGAAUUAAGCCUCACUGAGGAAUUGCUCGGCCCACCGGCCCACCCCAGGCACAGAGUAGUGCAGUGCCACAGCUCGCAGGAGUACAGCAGCCACGUGGCAUGUAUGUGCUCUGACUUCCCCCUCAGCCCAGGAUCAGGAGUGAGUCCAAAGGCCAUCCCAGGCAAGAAGUGCUGACUAUAAUAAGGAUGAUGUGAGAAAGCGGAAGCUUUCAUCAUAGAUGCCUGGAGUUCUUUCUUUGCUGUGUUAUCAACAGGUCUGAGAGGCUAUACAGACUCCUUAUAAAGAGUGAAGUCUGCUUUGGAUGGUUUCAUACCAUUUCCUCCCAAAUUCAUGUGAUGCAAUAGACGCGGUGCCCGGUACACAGGCUGCAUCCCACACCCUGAGACCAGGAGGAACAUGGAGCGGGCACGGCAGCGGCCGUUCCACCUGAGGGUCUGGAGGGUCUGGAGCCCUCCAGAAGGGUUGUUGUCCCUCAAAAUUGACUCGCUGCCCCACAUCGCUGCUGCAGAGAUGUCACGUUUCACAAGCGUUUCCCGGUGGGGCCCGAUCCAGCUGCCAGUGCCUCUAUGGGUGAAAUUAAAGAGCUGCAUCACCCUGGAGAUGACCUGUGAUCUUUUUAAGUUAGAGUGCACUCUGAGAAAAAAAAAAAAAGGAGGAAAAAAAAAAAAAGGAAAGUAAAAGAAAAACACUAAAAUAAAAUCUGUUGAGUCUCCAAGCUUUCCCAGGCAACUCUGGGUGGCCCAGUUUGAACUCUUUCCCCCUGCAGCCACUGACAUAGGUGUUCUCUCGAUACGGCUUCCACCCACUCACUGUGAGCCCUCCUCGGAGCUGAAUGUGCCGUCUUCUCACUCUUCAAUGAAAAAAAAACCUGAGGUUGGAAAACACAGAACACAGCGAGGCCGUGCAGACAGCUCGUCAGGGUCUGCAGCGCCCGGCUCCUGCACACCUUCCGCUGAAGGAUGUGGAAACGAUUUUAAACUCAAUGGUGCCAAGAGAAGGGGGGGGGGGGGGGGGCAGGCACAGCUGCUUGGAGUCCUUGGGUGAGGAAGUUAAAGAUACCAAAAUUAGAGGCAGGUCUUUCAUGCAGCUGAUUAGUGCAAUGGAAUGUCACAUUUUGCAAAGAAAGUUUGCCUAUCAAGCUGCAGAUUUAUUAAAUGCGUUCCAGACUUGCAUUGCUUCAUUCAAGUUUAACGGAGCUGUAAUACUUAAGAUGCCCUUUAGCAAUUUAAUACUCUCUUGUACAAAUCAUUGGAAAAUUUAAAAUAGAAAAAUAUGUCCGGGCUUAACUGUAAGAAGAAGGGGAACUCUGUACAAAAACAGAGCAGAAAGAAUGCAUGGGUAAAGCUGAGUAUUACUGAAUAUCUUACCACAUGUACUAUUCUGCUGAGUUAUUAGUACACGCGCUCUGAUCCGCGGGCCAAAGGAGGAACUAGCAGUAAUAAGUUGCAGAACAACAGCUUUUGGCAUCAGGGCUGGAGACUGGCAUCACACCAUGCCCAGAAAUUACUCCUCGGAAAACACAUUUUAUAGACUCUUCUCCUUCACUUUCUCGGCAGUGCAAAGUGAAAUGGGAUCUGAAUGGAGCAGCCACUCAUCUCUCCCACCAUGCAUGAAACAACUGCAUGAUGCAGUAAGAAGCAGCUUGCCAGGAGGCACCAGGAGAGCCUGCUAGGCCUCAGAGAGCGCUAUUGAAACAGAAGCUGGUGCAGUGUAAUGAUGAUUGGCAAGGUCCGGUGUAUGGUAACAGGGCCUAAUUUAAGCAUGAAUGUGCUAGCACCUCUGCUUUUGAAAGGCAAAUGGAUACACAUAAUCUAUUUCCCUGAGCCGGGGUGGGGGGUUUACUCCUCAUUCUCCAUUAUCUUCCUUCUCUUGCUUCACUGUAGCUCUAGCAUGUGGCAACCUGCCCCUGAGUCUGCAGCAAUGCCAGCAGAGAGGACCUGGGCAGCCAGAUGUUCUGUCUCUGCAGGGUGCUGGUCUCUGAAUGUUUGUUUUUCUUUCUUUCUUGUCAUCUGAUCCUCCUGGCGGAAGAGUCGCACUGUGGGAUCAACCUCCUUAUUCACAGGGCAGCACAUCCUGCAAAGCACAUUUCCUACCAAAACAGGGAGUGGGGUAGAAGAAGCAAAAUGUGCCUAGGAUGGGAAUAAUUGGCAGUGGGAGAGAGACCGGUGAGUAGGUUUGCUUUGAUUUUGAGGGUUGGAUAGAGAAGCAGCCAAAACGAGAGGCAUAGGGCUGUUACACCAGCCUCUCUACAAAGCUUUGCAGCUGCUGGAGGCCUGGGUCACCUGGAUGCUGCUUAAAAAGUGCUCUUGGACACAGAUGAUAUAUGAGGGAGUCUGAAUACCGGCUAGAAGCAUGGAGGAAAAGGCAUGGAAAGUAGUCUGGAAAGAAGAGAAUGGAUACUUUCAAUAGCUCCUGACUAUAGAGUGUGGGCUCUUGCAAGAGUUGGACUCACCCAGGCAUAAUGCGGACCAGCAGCAUCUUCCACCGUGGUGUGGCAGAAACAAGCAAGAGGAGCCCUGGAUUUCUGGCCUUCCACAGAAACAACCCCCUUGUGUUGCUGCCUCCAAAGAAGCUGCCAAAAUACAAUGGUAAACAGCUACACAUUAAAGAACAAAGGUCCAUUAACUAUCAAAUAGUGUUUUAACUUGCUCCAGAAUGCAGGGAUGAAAUUCAGUUUCCUGUCACCACUGAAUUGUGACAAGCUACUCGCAAAAGCGACUUCAGAGAAGCUGGCGUGGUUUCCGUAGCUGAUAUCUGGAAGCUAUGUAGAAUUAUCUGCAGCAGCAAAGUGAGGAUAGCAAGCAAGAGAGACUCAGUUGCCAGGAGUAGGCAAGAGAAAUCACAUAGCUGAGAUGUACUGAGGCAGAUGAUCCAAAUAGCUCAGGGGGGUUCAGUCUCAUCUCCACCAGAUGCAGAAUAUGAACUCAGUAAUGCUGCUUUGUCAGGAAGAAGGAAACAGAUUACUUGUAUGCGUAGUGUGGAUCUCUUCCACGUAGCACUAAUGAGCUGCUACUAUCACUGUAGCUCAGGUACAGAUUAUUUCACUUGCAUCUAAAUUUUAAAAUAUAGAAGCAACACUCGUGUAAUUUCUGUUAUUUAGGGCAGUGUAGAUUAGUGUAGAAUAGGAGCCCAGAUUUUGGAAUUGGGUUGAGAAGAAGUAGUGUGGACCCUUUCUAAAUAACUGGGCAGUCCUACAGCUAAGAUCUCGAGAGGUCGGUCAUUCACAGCAAGGGGAAAAUGACUGAUUGGUGCAGAGAAGCUCUUCACAAUUGCAAGCAGUUAAAGCUGUCAUUCGUUGCAAGGAACUGCACUGCCAGGGGCUGGGGCACAUUUCAUACAUGAGAGCAUGCCCGCAGGCAGCCAACCUGCUCAGGGUUAUUAUUCUCUUUUUAUAAAAACCUGGCAUACCUGUGGGAGAUGAAGUCAGAGAGGAUCUUUUGAAUCACACAGAAAUAAGCAGAAGGCUUCAUCCAUUUCUGCUGGAGAUAUAUCUGGUUGUUUCUCCAUGUGGUUGUGUGAAAUUUCUUGGCAAAGUUCAGCUCUUGGGAAGGAUAUUAUAGAACAGGUUCUGCUGUAUCAGCACUGUGUGAAGAGAUAUUAAAAAUAGACAUACAUAGGAAUGGCAGGUGUUGGUAGCAUCAGUCUGUAAGUCAAUUACAUGUGGUUUCCAUAAAGUUCAUUGUUUAAGAAAAUCAAUGCUAAGAAAAUACGAUGACUUCUGCACCUACUGUGGAUACAAAGAGAUCGCUGUGCAAGACCUGAGGAAGAGAUCUCCUCAGCUGAAAACGGAGUAGCUGCUGCAGCUCCCAUUGCCUGUCCUGUGUCCUCGGCCCACUGCUGUCCUUGGCUCAGAAGCAGUAGCAGAUAGCAAUCAAGGAGUCAGGAUUUCCGCUCCCACCGCUCUUUCUUACCCUUUCUGUGUCUGCAUUGUCUCCCAAAGCUGAUCACAAAAGAUGCGGUGUGGCCACAGGCUUAGAUGGGGGAUGAUAAGGAGGAGUUAAACAGAAGCAUUUUCACAUCAAAAAUGAUUUGAUGUGUGCCAAGAUGGUGUGGUAUACGCACAGCCUGUAAACAAGAGCCAAGAUGGCUAGCAGUGGAACAGCAAAACUGCUUAAUGCCUGUGGCAGGUCUGAGCUAAAAGCCCAAAAGCUUUCACCUAAAGCUGUGGUGAACAGCUAGUUUUUCCCAGUGCCUUAUGUUGCUAUGCAGACAAAUGGAAGCUACCUCUGCAAGUCCACAGGUGAGUGCUUGUUGCAGUCUGUCAGACCCGGAUGUCUCUCAGCUUUCAAGUUCACAAGCACAUCUCUCUAACAAGAGCAGUAGGUUUGGGACACUCCUUUUGUCCUACAGGCUCUCCUUCCUCCCCAUGUCUCCCCAGGUUAAGUGAUGCUAGCACUGGGGUGUGAUGAGCUAUCACCUGCCAGAAGUGCAUUCUGACGCUGCUCCUGAGCCAUUUCACCAUGCGCUUCCACCAGAGGUGACACAGCCUCACGUCAUCCCAUCCUGCAACAGACAGACAGGGAGCAGCUCCCACCGAGUCCUACAGCAGAUCUGCUUCUGUCGGCAAGAAAGGAUUUAGCCUGGGGGAUCUGAAGAUUUUAAUUUCCUUUCUUCUCUCUCUGACUUUGCCAGUUUCCUUCCUCUGAGAUCUUCUAUAUGCACAGCUUGUAAACAAGAGCAGAGGAGGGGAGGAGGGGGGGUCUCAAAGUAGCCUGACUGCCUGCUACACUCAGGUCGGUUGGUGGCACUUCCCAGGUCUGUAGUGAGGAAAGGUGACAGGCAAGGUAAAGGUGGAUUAUGGGAGUCCAGCCACCAGGAAAUGAGAGAGGGAAGACUUUAUGAAUUUUUAACAGGGAAUUUUUCACUUCUGUAAGGAAAAUAUUCAGCUUAUGUUUACAAGAAAAUACUGGCCAUCCAGACACAUCUUCACUGUCAAAAAUGGAGCUAUUACAGAUGUGGGAAAAGGUUCCCCCAUCCAAAGCCAAGACUGCCGAAGGCUGCCCGCUCUGAGAGUCAUGGUAGAGAUACUGGAAGAUGACCACAGUCUACCAUCUUCUUAAGGAGUGGUUCUAUUUAUUACAGUAUUUGAAAUGUGAGAUCCUGAGAUAAUGGCUCAGGGAUUGCUCAAGGGCAAGGGAUGCAUCGUCUCUGAGAAGACCACUUAUCUCCCCUCUUUCUGCAUCCAUCCUGGUAAGACAACAUCUUCUGGAAGGGGGCUUUUGUGCGCAUUGCCAAAAUUCAAUUUGUGAAUUGGUUCUUCUGAAGCGAAGAUGUUGAAUGAUGUAACCCAAAUUGCCAGUCAGCUGGGUAAAGCCUGUCAGUAUUCUGGAGCCUGGAAUGGAAUAAAGUUCAUGUACCUGCAUUCCUUCUGGUUGUAGCUCACUUAAGCAUUUGAAAUAUCCACUGAGUGAAUACUCUGGGGUUUGGAGGUCAGCAGUGCUAAAACAUAAGUGUCCAGAGACUUGAUUUGCAGAGCAAGGUCUUUGACUAGAGGAAGUGAGAUACAAACCAGCACUUUUUCCUGGGGCUCGAAAGAGAGAAGAUAACUCAAGAGCUUGAACAAUCUGCCCUCUGUUACAAUACACACCCUGUUUUAACUAGUUCAGUGGCCAGGUCACAGCAGCACGCUCUAGCAAGUGAGCUCCCAAGCACUGAACAUCUACAAUUUACAGCAGCACAGUUGAGGUCUUCAGCUGCUGCAUUGUGCACCUCACAGCAGCAACAAUGAUACUGUUAUAACACAGAAAUCAUCAGUGGGAGGAAACUAAUCUUGAACAGGCUAAUAGCCACAGUUAAGUCUUUCGGAGAGUUUUUAGCAUUCUGAGCCUCAGCAUAAGGAAAAGGUGCUUCUUCAGCUUAAUGCUUUAUAUGUAAACAAAUGCUGACUUAGUAGUAGUGUGUGGACGUGUCCACUGAACAUACAGGUUUGACCUGGAUGGUGCAUUCCCCCAGAAGUUUCCUUGGAUAGCACAUCCGUGAGGGCAUGGCCAUGUUGCUGCCCGUCCAAGCAGAGUGAAAAACAAUGGAGCUUGACCAGCAACACAGAGUUAGUUGUUGGCCCCUGUAAGCUCCCUCCCCACUCUGUGAAUUAGUUUUGGACUCACAAGAGGUUUGAUAAGUGACUCAGAAGUGGCAUAUCUCUUCCUGCAAACCUUGCCAGGCUUUUAUCCUUACCCUGUAACUGCUAGAGCUACCCCAAGUGCUGACACCCUCUUCCUUGAAAUGGUUAAAAUCUAACUGUACUCAGGAGAGCAGAGGGUGGUUCAAAACAUAAAUAAAGAUGCAAGGCUAAACAUCAGGCAAGCCAAACUGAUGUUUCAACAUUCAGUGGGGUCAUAUGCUGAGCUGUACACCCAGUUGGACUCUGUAGGAUAUUUAUAAAAAUUUGCCUUGAUAAGCCCAUCAAACUCUGCUCUCAUUUUCCAGUGUACAAUACUGGAUGUGAAUUCUGCUGUUGCUGUAUGUAUAGGAACUGUUGAGUCAGGGCCUGAACCACUGAUUGAGCACCUGAGGAAAGGACCCGGUCAGCCCUGGGAGCACAGGUGAAGGCAAUUCUGCUGUGUGACCAGAAGGGGUGGAGCCUCUCUUAGACCUCAUUUAAGGGCUGACCCCUACUAGGAGGGAUUUCUGGUUGGAGAUCUUUUCUUUGUGGAGCUUUCCCUGGGAGCCUUGAUGCGCAAAAAUUGGUUGCUUUGUGCCAGUUGCAUGUCCAGCAGCAAUGACUCUGUGCUCCCCACGCGCCUCCCUUCAGCAUGAGUUUCCUUACUACGUGCUCAGGGACUUGCUCUGCGCUAACAGGAAGGACUGAUCCGCUGCCCAGGUGAAUAUUGAGGCAUCUUUGCAGCACAGAAUGCUUGCGGCACAGCACAACUUUGGCUUGUACUCUGAUUCCUUGGCCAUCAGCAGAAGACAGGCAUAACUUGGAAGCAAGGCUUGACUGGUGCGGUACCACUAUUUCCAGCCAAGCAGGCAGCACAGUGGUUUACUGGAAGUGGUGUUUGCCCCUUUGCACCCCAAGCACUUUCUGAAAAACUCACAUUUAAAUUCGUCAGCCUGGAAGCAUCCAAUGGGCUUAGAAGCUGUGGCUAAGGAGGAUGGAUGAGCGUGCAUGAGGCUGAGCACCGGACUGUAUCAUCCCCUUUGGAAAACUGGCUGCAACCAGAGGGCUAGGGAAGUUGGGAGAAAAAUCUGCCUUGAAAACAAAUGAUAUGCCACGUCUUUGGAACCACACAGAAAACACAAUGAGCAUGCAUUGCUUGGUGAUAAAGGUGUGGAAUAGUGCUAGGAGAAUGAGUGAAGCAGUUACUGUGCAAUUUUAGUUCAUUUUCUGUGUAAGGACAGCAGUAAGAGGAUGGCUCAUAGAUAUACCUGCUGGGAAGAGCCGAUGAGCUACUGCAGAAUAAGCUGCAGUGGUGUAGCAUUAAGUCAGCUCUGCUCCAAACAGGGCCAGGUAGCACUGCACCACACGCCAAAGGAGCCCUAUCUACACUAGGAUUCAUGCUUUGCACUGUUGUUAGCAACAGAAAGUUUUUGCUGGAAAAAAUAAAAUCAACAAAGGCACCAUCUAGAAUUGUAUCCAUUAUGUUUUUGCAAAUGAUCUAAGUUCUCUUUAAAGGCCAGGCACAUGGGACCAAAUAUUUAGAGAGGUUCUUAGUGUUAAAAAUAAAUACACAUCAGUGCAUAGCACGUACAAGAGAAUUAGUUAGCUAACUUUUAUUGUAUAUAUACCAUUAUAUGAUUUACUUGUUGAGUAAAUCAUUUGAAUGAGCAAAUUCAGGUGCAAGCCUGCAGCGAAGCUCGGUGCUUAGAAAGCUUGGCUGCCUGUCUGUCUGUCCCUUUCUCUGGGGAAUGCAGACGUAUCUCUGGAGCAGGCAGACUGUCACAAGGCACUGGGAAAACUGCUUUUGACACCUGUACUCGGAAAACAUUGUUUUCCUUGGUGUGAAGUAUAGUUUGCUUUUAGGGAUGCAAGGAUGCAAGAAAUGUUUUUCAUCAAAUUAAGAAAAAUGAAGGCGCUUCUGUAGCAGACUAAUUAGAUAUCUAUCUAAAAUAAAUGUUUUUUUUAACGCCUGAUUUCUUUUUUAAAUAUAUAAAUACCAGCUAGUGGUUUAAAGCUCCUGUAGUUGUGAAUGGCUCUGCUGUCCCACACUGCAAGCUAAGUUUUUAUUACUUCUUCACAAGAAAUUUAUUUUGCUGACAUGGGCCCUAAUCCAGUAAAGUGUUAAAACAUAUGCUUAAUUUUAAGCAUGCGAGUAAAGCCAACAGCACAAAUUUAAGCACAAAUUUAUGUUUGGUCUAGCUGGGGCUAUAAUUUCUGGGUUACGGUCUUGAGGAUUGUGUGCUUUUCUUAGAAUAAGCACCCUCCUGAAGGAAAAAGAAGACGGUCAUGUUUUUUUAAGGUAUUAUGUUAUUUAUCAGAAGAUCUUGCAAAGAAAUGCACAAACGAGGAAAUGCUGAAAAUUUUGGGACAUCAAUGAGUUCUUUUAAAUAUGGAAGUCAUGCAAUCCGAUGAAAAUUCCCAUCACUCUCCUCCUCAACUUCCACAUGUUGUUGUGGUAGCUGAACACAUCAGGGGCAUGAGCUGGUUGUUUCAUGACUGACCAGCCAGCUGCCUCAGGAAUUCCUCCUGAUACUUUUCACGUAGAGAAAGCCUUAUUUUUUGCAUGGGCUCUUCUAGCCAGGUUGAGUAUUUGAGCUAAGAGAAGGGGUGAUCUUCCUUACUCCUAGUGAGCUGGUGAAGAGUUGGAAGUUUAGUAUUUCUUAAUAAUUUGCUCGGUGAUAUCAAAAUGUUAUUAGCUGUGGAUAUAUACAAGUGACCUUUUCUUAGGGAAGAUAAAAGCCUCAGAGAUGAUGAGUGAAUCAUAGCUCAAAUGGAACCUGAAAGUCACAGAGGUCAAACAGGAAUUUGGUGAUUUUGAUGUAGAGAACAGAGGAUGGCUGGCUGCACAGUGAGUUGGGUUCCUGCAAUUUUCAUCCUGCUGGCAGUCUCCGGCAGACCUAGGACAGAGUGGACCAGCAAUCUGAGCUGCCUUCUCCUUACACAGGCUUGCAUGAGAUCUGGGAUGAAACAAACUGGUGUGGUGUGUAUAUGCUUACAGGAGUGAUUCUGUUUCAUUACACUGGUGAGUUUUCUGCAGAAAUGGCAAAGCCAGUGCUUCUCUACCUUGAAAUAAACUGUUUCUAAUAUAUGCCAGCAUUAGAAAACUGCAAGGUACCUUUUUUUUUUUUUUUUUUUUUUUUUUAAAUGCAGGACGGCUUAAAGGCUUUGUGUGUUCCAUUUGUACCAUGCAAGUUGUCAAGCACCACAGCUGAACGGAAGAAAGAAUGUGGGGAAUCUCUGCUAAGCUUUAGUUUUACAUACUUAAGAGCAGGCACAGGAUUUGUUCAGAGUUUUAUUAUCGGGUGAGGAGUUAAGGUAAUUACAGCAGCAAGGCAGAAGGCCAAAAGAUGAUGAAGAAGUCUAAUACCAGGCACCAUUUAGGUUUAGAGUGUACUGUGGGUUAUUUUUUAAAAUAUACUAGCCACCUACUGAUGACCUCCUCCUGGGGAAAUUUAAACACAAUUUAAUUAUUGCACCUCAUGUGUUAACAUUUACAAUAAGAUUAAGGGCACUGCAGUUUACACUCUAGUGCUCGCACUUACACAGUGUGUAAAGAGAAGGGAUUUGACUGAAGUCAGGGAGACAGAAGAGGUUAAAAUCAGUAGCUGGAAAAUGAAAGAGCUGUAAGGCAUUCUGCAUGUUUGUUACUAUACUAUACUAUGCAAGUAUUAAAAACUUAUUUGAAUAUGGAACGGGAAAGUCAUUUGUUUGGACUUCAAGGUAGGUUUCUUGCAAGUUACACCUGUUCAGAAGACCAUUCUUUGCCUAAGGUUUCAACACAGUGUAAACUACAAGCAAGUGGUUGAGAG
ensembl:lncRNA